UACGUAGGGGGCAAGCGUUGUCCGGAUUUAUUGGGCGUAAAGAGCGUGUAGGCGGCCAUGUAGGUCCGUUGUGAAAACUCGAGGCUCAACCUCGAGACGCCGAUGGAAACCAUGUGGCUAGAGUCCGGAAGAGGAGAGUGGAAUUCCCGGUGUAGCGGUGAAAUGCGCAGAUAUCGGGAGGAACACCAGCGGCGAAGGCGGCACUCUGGGCUGGAACUGACGCUGAGGAGCGAAAGCGUGGGUAGCAAACAGG
rnacentral:rRNA from 1 species